rnacentral:rRNA from 1 species
UACAGAGGGGGCAAGCGUUGUUCGGAAUUACUGGGCGUAAAGGGCGCGUAGGCGGCCUUCUAAGUCGAACGUGAAAUCCCCGGGCUCAACCCGGGAACUGCGUCCGAUACUGAAAGGCUUGAAUCCGGGAGAGGGAUGUGGAAUUCCAGGUGUAGCGGUGAAAUGCGUAGAUAUCUGGAGGAACACCGGUGGCGAAGGCGACAUCCUGGACCGGUAUUGACGCUGAGGCGCGAAAGCCAGGGGAGCAAACGGG